ensembl:misc_RNA Metazoa_SRP Metazoan signal recognition particle RNA
GCUGGGCACGGUGGCAUGUGCCUGUAGUCCCAGCUACUCGGGAAGCUGAGAUGGGAGGAUCGCUUGAGCCCAGGAGUUCUGGGCUGUAAUGCACUAUGCCGAUCGAGUGGCCAUGCUAAGUUCGGCAUCAAUAUGGUGACCUCCUGGGAGCAGGAGACCACCAAGUUGCCUAAGGAGGGUGAACCGGCCCAGGUCAGAAACUGAGCAGGUCAAAACUCCCGCGCUGGUCAGUAGUGGGAUCGCACCUGUGAAUAGCCACUGAACUCCAGCCUGGGCAACAUAGCGAGACCCCAUCUCUU